rnacentral:rRNA from 1 species
GAAUAUUGGACAAUGGGCGAAAGCCUGAUCCAGCAACGCCGCGUGGAGGAAGAAGGCCUUCGGGUCGUAAACUCCUGUCAGGUGGGACGAAAAGGCGGAGGUCAAUAGCCUCUGCCGCUGACGGUACCACCAGAGGAAGCCCCGGCUAACUCCGUGCCGGCAGCCGCGGUAAUCCGGAGGGGGCAAGCGUGAUUCGGAAUUAUUGGGCGUAAAGGGCGCGUAGGCGGCCUGGCAAGUCGUAGGUGAAAUCCCCCGGCUCAACCGAGGAAUUGCCUUCGAUACUGCCAGGCUCGAGGCCGGGAGGGGGUGGCGGAAUUCCCAGUGUAGCGGUGAAAUGCGUAGAUAUUGGGAGGAACACCAGUGGCGAAGGCGGCCACCUGGACCGGUUCUGACGCUGAGGCGCGAAGGCGUGGGGAGCAAACAGG